rnacentral:lncRNA from 1 species
UCAAAUUCAAUCCUAAAUUAACUGUUAUCAUUCUCCAGGUAUAAUCCACCGUCUUACCACAGACCGUGUAAUGUUAUUCUCAGAAGAAGUUUCUAAUUCACAAAAUCAAUGAAUGCUUAUUACCAUUUUUAGUAUAUAUGGCUCUCAAUCCUCACCAAUUCUCUCACAAGAAAACUUCAGCAAGAGACUCCUCUAGCUACAU